rnacentral:tRNA from 1 species
UAAAGUUUAGUUUAAUGAAAAUAUAAAAUUGUCAAUUUUAAGAUCUGAGGAACUUUAG